CCCUUAGAUGUUCUGGGCCGCACGCGCGCUACACUGAUGCAUUCAACGAGCCUAUCCUUGACCGACAGGUCCGGGUAAUCUUUGAAUCUGCAUCGUGACGGGGAUAGAUUAUUGCAAUUAUUAAUCUUCAACGAGGAAUGCCUAGUAGGCGCGAGUCAUCAGCUUGCGUCGAUUACGUCCCUGUCCUUUGUACACACCGCCCGUCGCUCCUACCGAUUGGGUGUGCUGGUGAAAUGUUCGGAUCGGCCGUUUGUCGCGGUUUCCGCGGCUCGUGGCUGAGAAGUUCAUUAAACCCUCCCACCUAGAGGAAGGAGAAGUCGUAACA
rnacentral:rRNA from 1 species